GGGGCUGACCGGUUUUGACAGCAUAGUUCUUUGUAAGUGUAAGCAUGUACUGCGUUGCGUAAUUAGCAGUUUAAUAUGAAUACGAAAAUUUUAAAUGGCAAUACACAGUAUGCCAUGGCUGCUUAAUCGAUAGAUUAGUAACCAUUAGGGCCGCCGAACAGGUUUUCCUGUUACCAGGUUCCGCCGCCGACUCAAAAACAAUACAGGAUGCUGCAUUGGAAUGAUGUGACCAAGGCUUAAGAUUAUUCAUCUAAGGAUACAGUUGGUUUGUUUUGCUCCUGCUGUUUCCCUACAAACAAUGCAAAAAUAAACAUGUAGAAAGCUUACGGCGAAUGUGUUUGGACCAGGGUUCGAUUCCCUGCAGCUCCACUA
rnacentral:tmRNA from 2 species